rnacentral:lncRNA from 1 species
AACUGUUUUAAUUUAAUGCUUGAGUCUCUGUAACCAUAUAAAUGUAUUCUUCUUGUUUUCUAGUUAACUUGCAGCAGCCCAGUAUUUCCCACAGUGCUCCUGAUGGAUGGUUUGACGUGUGAUCACCAGUGGCCACAAUUUCACUAUCAUCUGUUCAACUCAAUCUCAGUAUCCUGGAGGAUCUUUUCACCUGUUCAGAGGAUCAAACAUCACCAGGACUGAGUCAGCUGUCAGUCACUCUGCCUCCUUCUUCUUUCCUGAGGCAGAUUAUUCACACGAGGGAAACUACAGCUUUGUUUAUGAAGUCAGUGUCUCCUCACGCUCCUUCCGUUCAUCUGCCUCUGAACUGCUGCUCAUCACUAUCACAGCCUCCCUGCUUCCUGUCAUUGGUGCUGCAGUGUCAGCUGUGCUGCUCUUAUUGUCUGUCCUCAUAAUCAUCCUCCUGCUGAAGAGAAGACAAAAGGAAAGGAACAAACAAAGUCAUUUGAGGUGCUCUUUUAUGAAAGGUAAUGAUGUUCAUUCUAUAAAAGAAUCCAGAUGUCUUUUCAACUGCUUAAACACAUUUUCA